rnacentral:rRNA from 1 species
CCUACGGGAGGCAGCAGUAGGGAAUCUUCCACAAUGGACGAAAGUCUGAUGGAGCAACGCCGCGUGAGUGAUGAAGGUUUUCGGAUCGUAAAACUCUGUUGUAAGGGAAGAACAAGUACGAGAGGGAAUGCUCGUACCUUGACGGUACCUUGCGAGAAAGCCACGGCUAACUACGUGCCAGCAGCCGCGGUAAUACGUAGGUGGCAAGCGUUGUCCGGAAUUAUUGGGCGUAAAGCGCGCGCAGGCGGCCUUUUAAGUCUGAUGUGAAAGCCCCCGGCUCAACCGGGGAGGGUCAUUGGAAACUGGAAGGCUUGAGUACAGAAGAGAAGAGUGGAAUUCCAUGUGUAGCGGUGAAAUGCGUAGAGAUGUGGAGGAACACCAGUGGCGAAGGCGACUCUUUGGUCUGUAACUGACGCUGAGGCGCGAAAGCGUGGGGAGCAAACAGGAUUAGAUACCCUGGUAGUCCACGCCGUAAACGAUGAGUGCUAGGUGUUGGGGGUUUCCGCCCGUCAGUGCUGAAGCUAACGCAUUAAGCACUCCGCCUGGGGAGUACGGCCGCAAGGCUGAACUCAAAGAGUAGUAGGACGUGNGAGAGCGACGACGACGACGACGGAGGGAGG